rfam:Mycobacterium sp. GA-2829 GCID_NTM_00013_NODE_16.ctg_1, whole genome shotgun sequence.
CUGAGGGGAAUCAGAGGCGUAAAGUCGGUCGCACGACGGGUUCGGGAGUGACAGAUCCAAAUAGCCGGUGCAGGGGUGAACA